rnacentral:rRNA from 1 species
AAUUUUGGACAAUGGGGGAAACCGUAAUCCGGCCAUCCGGGUGGAGUGAAGAAGCCCUUCGGGUGGUAAAGCUUUUUCGGCCGGAAGGAAAGGGACGCUGUUAAUACCGGUGUGUAAUGACGGUACCGUCAGAAGAAGCACCGGCUAACUAUGUGCCAGCAGCCGCGGUAAUACGGAGGGUGCGAGCGUUGUUCGGAAUUAUUGGGCGUAAAGCGUGCGCAGGCGGUUUUUUAAGUCAGAUGUGAAAUCCCCGGGCUUAACCCGGGAAGUGCAUUUGUGACUGCAAGACUAGAGUACGGGAGAGGGGGGUGGAAUUCCAGGUGUAGCGGUGAAAUGCGUAGAUAUGUGGAGGAACACCGGUGGCGAAGGCGGCCCCCUGGGCCGAUACUGACGCUCAGGCGCGAAAGCGUGGGGAGCAAACAGGAUUAGAUACCCUGGUAGUCCACGCCGUAAACGAUGUCAACUAGGGUGUUGGGGAUAGGAGACCUCUUCAGUGCCGCAGCU